GUUUCCAUGAAUCUUUUUAAUCCUUCCUUAAUUUCCUGGUUGACCGUUUCAUCUUUUAGCAGGAUGAUCCUUCACCUCCACGUGUUUGAGCUCCUUCCAAACUUCUUGUUGUGAUUUAGUUCUAAUUUCUUUUUUUCAUUAUUUUAUUAUUAAUUUUAAUUUAUGAUAGUCACACAGUGAGAGAGAAAGAGAGGCAGAGACACGGGCAGAGGGAGAAGCAGGCUUCUAGCACCGGAAGCCCGACGUGGGAUUCAAUCCCGGGUCUCCGUAUUCACGCCCUGGGCCAAAGGCAGGCGCGAAACUGCUGCGCCACUCAGGGAUACCUAGUUCUACUUUCAAGGCAUUAUGGUCUGAGUAUAUGCAGGGGACAAUCCCAAUCUUUUGGUAUCGGUUCAGACCCGAUUUGUGCCCCAGUAUGUGGUCGAUUCUGGAGAAAGUUCCAUGUGCACUUGAGAAGAAUGUGUACUCAGCUGAGUUUGGAUGUAAAGUUCUGUAGAUUUCUGUGAAAUCCAUCUGGUCCAGUGUAUCAUUUAAAGCUCUCGUUUCAUUGGAUAUGUUGUGCUUAGAAGACCUAUCGAGGGUAGAAAGAACUAGAUUGAAGUCACCAAGUAUAAGUGUAUUAUUAUCUAAGUAUUUCUUCACUUUGGUUAUUAAUUGUUUUUUUAAAUAUUUGGCAGCUCUCACAUAUGGGGCAAUAUAUUGAGGAUUGUUAAGUCCUCUUGUUGGAUAGAUCCUUUAAGUAUGAUUUACUGUCCCUCUUCAUCUCUCACUACAGUCUUCGGGGUAAAUUUUAGUUUAUCUGAUAUAAGGAUGGCUACCCCUGCUUUCUUUUGAGGACCAUUUGAAUGGUAAAUGGUUCUCCAAACAUUUAUUUUCAGGCUGUAGGUGUCCUUCUGUCUAAAAUGAGUCUCUUUUAGACAGCAAAUUGAUGGGUUCUGCUUUUUUAUCCAGUCUGAAACCCGGUGCCUUUUGAUUGGGUCAUUAAGCCCGUUCACGUUCAGAGUUACUAUUGAAAGGUAUGAGUUUAGUGUCAUCAUGAUAUCUAUUCAGCCCUUGUUUUUUGUGGAUUGUUCCACUGAACUUCUUCUUAAAGGGGAAUUUUAAGAGUCCCCCUUAAAAUUUCUUACAGAGCUUGUUUGGAGGUCACUUAUUCUUUCAGUUCCUGCCUGUCUUGGGAGCUCUUUAUCUCUCCUUCCAUUUUGAAUGAGAUCCUUGUUGGAUAAAGUAUUCUUGGUUGCAUGUUCUUCUCAUUUAGGAUCCUGAAUAUAUCCUGCCAGCCCUUUCUUGCCUGCCAGGUCGCUGUGGAGAGGUCUUCUGUUACCCUAAUGCUCCUCCCCAUAAAGGUCAGGGAUUUCUUGUCUCUUGCUGCUUUAAGGAUCUUUUCUUUAUCUUUGAAAUUUGCAAACUUCACUAUUAAAUGUGGAGGUGUUGGACGGUUUUUAUUUAUUUUAGAGGGGAUCUCUCUAUUUCCUGGAUCUUAAUGCCUGUUUCCCUUCCCAGAUUAGGAAAGUUUUCAGGUAGGAUUUGUUCAAAUACAUAUUCUGGACCUCUGUCCAUUUCGACGCCCUCGGGAACCCCAAUUAAACGUAGGGUUUUCUUCCUCAGGCUGUCGUUUAUUUCCCUUAAUCUGUCUUUCUGGUCUUUUAAUUGUCUGUCUCUUUUUUCCUCAGUUUCCCUCUUUGCCAUCAACUUGUCUUCUAUGUCACUCACUUGUUCUUCCACCUCGUUAACCCUUGUCGUUAGGACUUUUAGUUUGGAUUGCAUCUCAUUCAAUUUAUUUUUACUUUCUGCCUGAUUGGAUCUAAAUUCUGCAGUCAUGAGUCUAUUGAGUCCUUUAUGCUUUUUUCUACAGCCACCAGUAGCUGUAUAAUAGUGCUUCUGAAUUGGCUUUCUGACAUUGAAUUGUAAUCCAGAUUUUGUAACUCUGUGGGAGAGAGGACUGUUUCUGAUUCUUUCUUUUGAGGUGAGGUUUUCCUUCUAGUCAUUUUGCUCAGUACACAGUGGUCAAAAACAAGUUGUAUUGGGAAAAGGAGAAAAAUAGAGGAGAGAAAGAAGGAAAGAAAAGAGAAAGAAAAAAGAAGAAAGGAAAAAA
rnacentral:lncRNA from 1 species